UGCAAGCUGUCUCUUUGAUUAAAGCAGCUAAUCUUUGAUUGUAGGCGGUGGGCUCCACCUUGUUUCCCUGCACCCAGAAGGUUCACAGGGGUUAGAUGCAUCAAGUCUUGCACUUUCAAUACUAAUGCAAAGGAAUGUUUUUUAAAGUCAUUUUUGUAAGAUAUAUUGUGAGGAAAAAGAGGUUAAAUUUAUAAAUCACAAAAAUACGGUUAAAUGAAGGGAAAAGCCCUAUAUCAUUUACUAAAAAUCUCAUCCUGUACAGAAUGGCUCAUCUGACAGAGGUACAGAGCAGAACCCUGUGUACUAAACAAGAUCUACACCCUUUUUUAUUGAGUCUUUUUGCGUUGCUCCCCAGGAGAAAAGGUGUGUUCUUACCAGGAGCUGAUCAGCAUAAGCUUAAAUCUUAAAGAACUUCUAUUCUCCAUCCAGUUAAAUUUGCAAGACAUUAUUAUUGUAUGGAGCCUACAAACAAACAAGAACCUCUAUAAACAUGACUGCCAGGAUUAAAGCUAAAGAUUAAAGCUGUCAUCUCCAAGUGUUUGGGAGUUUGCCCUUUCUAUAACAAUGAUGUACCUUCAGGACUACUUCUCAGGCAGCUGCACACGUGAGCAGCAGAGAUGACAGCUGAAAGGCAUUUAACAGCUAUCUUGUAACGUUCAGUGAGCUACACACCUGUGUACUGUGACUUCUCUGCAGUCCCUGCCAGGUAAAUACUUGCAAUCUGUGAACUCUAAGAUUAUUCCUAU